GUUGUACUGUUGCAUGGAUUCAUAAUGUGCAUGUGUGUGUGAUUCAUCCAUACAGAAUGUUACAGAAAUAUUACUGGAAGGGGAAGAGACAGGAAUAAGAGCCAGUGAGUAUGAGUCACAGGCAGGGGAGAGAACAAAAUGCAAGGAGAAAAUAUAUAGGAUCCCUGUUCUUUUAAAGAACACACAGAAACUGAGGAUGAACAGGAAGAUGUAAUUGGUUAAGAUAAGAUCAUACUGGAUGUGGAUGGGUCCUAGAUCUGACUGCUGAUAUCCUUAUAAGAAGAAGAAAGGACACGCGGAGACUACAGUGAUGUUGCCACAAGCCAAGAAAUGCCAAGAAUUUCGGGAGCCACCAGAAGAUGGAAGAGGCAGGGAAAAAUCCUCCCCUAAAGCCUUCAGAGAGAGCAUAGCUCUGCCAACACCUUGAUUCUGGACAUCUAGCCUCUUAAACUUCCUCAGGUGUCUCAUUUCUUCUGUCUCAGAAGUCAUGGAUGUCAAUGAAGAUAUGGAAUUCACUUAUUCAUUCUUAUAAAUAUUACUUAGUGUCCUUGUGCUUGGCACUGUGCUUGGUCAUUGAGAUCUACUGUUCAAAAGCAAGAUAACAUACAGGCUGGAAUAGCGAGAUGCAAGAAUCCCAAGCCUUCAAAGCCAGCUCCUGCAGAAGAGAGAGGGCCUGGCAGCUGAGCUGGAUGCUUCAGGAGCAGAGGAUCUAUCAACUGCAGACCAAGCACAGGGAGACGCAGGCAAACCUGGAACAGUAACCCAGCCAGCUCCAAUUGCUCCGACAGUACUUGGUGGCCAGAGAGUCGGCAGCAGAAAGCAUGCCCCGGGCCGUGAAGCAGGAAAUCGACUCUGACUCAAUCCUUGAGGUCUGAAGCAGAUCUAUAGACAGAGCCAGACACCACUCCUCAAACAGCAGAGAGAUGUAAGGAAGUACAGCUAUUUGACUUCACCCUUAAAGGAUUUACACUGAUCGUGGAAGAUGGUUUUCUUGUGAACCCACCCAAAGGAAAAUUCUGAAUCCACCUAAAGGAAAUUUCUGGUUUUUCCAAAUUGAACAUCAAAAUUAAAUGCAGGGAAAUUUAGUGUUUUGCAUGCCCAAAUAUUCAUUGGUUCCUCAGCAUGUUAGUGGGAUCAAAUCAGAAGAGGUUCCCAAUUAAACAUUUAAAAAAUGCAUUCACACAAAUCAAAACUACAAUGAGAUAUCAUCUCACCCCAGUUAAAAUGGCUUCUAUCCAAAAGACAGGCAAUAACACAUGCUGGCAAGAAUAUGGAGAAAAGAGAACCCUCAUACACUGUUAGUGGGAAUGUAAAUUAGUACAACCACUGUGGAAAACAGUUUGAAGUUUCCUCAAAAAGCUAAAAAUAGAACUACCAUACAACCCAGCAAUCCCACUCCUAGGUUUAUACUCAAAGGAAAUCAGUAUAUCAAAGAUAUCUGUACACCCAUGUUUAUGGCAGUACUAUUCACAAUAGCCAAGAUUUGGAAGCAACCUGAGUGUCCAUCAACAGACAAAUGGAAAGAAAAUGUGGUACAUAUACACAAUGGAGUACUAUUCAGCCAUAAAAAAGAAUGAGAUCCAGUAAUUUGAAACAUGGAUGGAACUGAAGGUCAUUACAUUAAGUGAAAUAAACCAGGCACAAAAAGACAAACUUUGCAUGUUCUCAAUUGUUUGUGAGAGCUAAAAAUUGAACAAUUGAACUCAUGGAGAUAGAGAGUAAAAGGAUGAUGACCAGAGGCUAUGAAGGGUAGUGGGGAGGGUGGGAGAGAAGUGGGGAUAGCUAAUGGGUACAAACAAAAUUGUUAGAAAGAAUGAAUAAGACCUAGUAUUUGCUAGCACAACAGGGUGACUAUAGUAAAAAAUAAUUGCACCUUUUAAAAUACCUAAAAGAAUAUAAUUGGGUUGUUUGUAACACAAAUGAUGAAUGCUUGAGGUGAUAGAUACCCCAUUUACCCUGAUGUGAUUAUUACACAUUGCAUGUCUGUAUCAAAAUAUCUUAUGUACUCCAUGAAUAUAUACACUUACUAUGUACCCACAACUUAAAAAAAAAUAUUUUUAAUGCAUUCACAAUACAUUAAGAUUUUUGAAACUGGCUUGGUCUUUCUCUGUUCCAUAUCAAAAAAAGAAACUGCAAUUCAUUCACAUUUCCACCAGUGACAGGGAACUUACAAAAUAUUCCAUGGAAAUAGGAGAUAGGAA
rnacentral:lncRNA from 1 species